rnacentral:piRNA from 1 species
UUGGAAGCUGUGACACCUUGGCCUGGGGUU